rnacentral:rRNA from 1 species
UACGUAGGGUGCAAGCGUUAAUCGGAUUCACUGGGCGUAAAGGGUGCGUAGGUGGCGAGGUAAGUCGGAUGUGAAAGCUCGGAGCUCAACUCCGAAAUGGCAUUGGAAACUACCUUGCUCGAGGGUUGGAGGGGGGACUGGAAUUCUCGGUGUAGCAGUGAAAUGCGUAGAUAUCGAGAGGAACACCAGUGGCGAAGGCGAGUCCCUGGACAACACCUGACACUGAGGCACGAAAGCUAGGGGAGCAAACAGG